rnacentral:rRNA from 1 species
GACGAAGGGGCUAGCGUUGUUCGGAAUUACUGGGCGUAAAGCGCGUGUAGGCGGUUGUUCAAGUCAGGUGUGAAAGCCUUGAGCUCAACUCAAGAAAUGCACUUGAUACUGGAUGACUAGAGGACCGGAGAGGAUAGUGGAAUUCCCAAGUGUAGUGGUGAAAUACGUAGAGAUUGGGAAGAACACCAGUGGCGAAGGCGGCUAUCUGGACGGUUUCUGACGCUAAGACGCGAAAGCGUGGGGAGCAAACAGG